rnacentral:rRNA from 1 species
AAUCAACGCUGGCGGCGUGCCUCAGACAUGCAAGUCGAACGCGAAAUUUCCCUUCGGGGAGAAAGUAGAGUGGCGCACGGGUGAGUAACACGUAGGUAAUUUGCCUUUGGGUGGGGAAUAACUCAGGGAAACUUGAGCUAAUACCGCAUAAUGCAGCGGCUCGACAUCGAGACAGUUGUUAAAGCGGGGGAUUGGAGCAAUCCGACCUCGCGCCUAAAGAGAAGCCUGCGGC